GCAUUCUGUUGUGAUUACAUCAAAACUGAUGUACAGUAUUUACUUGCUGGUUCUGUGUACUUAAUAACUAAUAAUACACUGUACAUCUCUUCAUAAGGAGCUUAUCCCUAGUUGAUCAGGGUGCAACAUUAAACAUUUGGGAAUCUGAAUAAAGUUAUGAAUGCAACUGCAUUUAUUUGCCUCAAAAUGAAGUAACCCUCACAUAUCAAAGGGAUUGUUAUCUCCACCAUGAACAAACCUGUGGGGGGAUCUUGCGCUCAGGGUUGUGUACAUUUUAUGUAAUCCGUUUUCUGUAUUGUCACAGUACGGUAAGAAGUAAACAUGCAAAAGUAAUUCCACAUGUUUCUCAGGAAUAUAUCAUAAGUGCUAACUUAUGUUUCUCGAAAAAUUUACUAAAUGAAACCUACUCCAUCCAGGAUGCAUGUAUGUGACCUGAACCAGUACUGAGAUUUUAAAUUGAGGAAGGUGGAAAGUAUACAAAUGAUGGAAAACACUGGUUCCAUCUGUUUCUCACAAACCCUCUGAAGUAAACCUCUGUAUAACUCACAAUUUGUUAGGAACAAUGCUUGUUAUUUGCUCCUUUGGAGAAUGACCGAAGAAAUCCCAUUUGUUUGUAGUUGUGUUGACACCAAUAAUACUGAUUAAAAAAAAGGUAUGAAUCUGGGGACAGCCAUCUACCUGCAUACAGGGUUGGAGGGGAUCAACCACUCCACUCACAUUGUGGUGGAAACAAUAUUUAAAAAAAAAACCAAGAGAAGCAGGUCUGAAUCAGCAACAAUCUGUCUUUGGUGGCCUGGCCUUCACCUCAAAAUUGGGGGUGGGGCGCUCACAAAACUGACAUGACAAUCAUGUGUCCCUCUCCUAGCGACAGCGGGGUAAUUUCAGGAGAUCUAGCUCCAUUAAUACAUCCUGAAAGGAGGCUCAUCAUUCCAAUUUGCCACAUCCAUUGUCCAAUUAUCCUGCUUCUUCUUAGCCUUGUUUAACCAUGCAGUUUUAAGAAUGUGCCAACGUUUCAUUGCCUACUUUAGCAGCCAGCAGUACAGUUAAUGCAACAAUGAUAGCAAACUGACUAUGACGGUACAUUCACACCAAAAGCAAGGCUUUACUCGCCCUACUAUUCGCAUCUCCUUCAUUCGUGCCAGAAAAGGGGCAUGGCUUAUCUCCGUGGCAUGUCUCCAUAAAGACAGUUAUUACUUCCGCUAAUAUUUGUGCUCUGUACUUGUGGUGGAGAUUCCACAAACGCUGUUGUGUUUGGGUUUAUGACAUCAUCUGUCCCCGCAGUCGCCGGUGAAGUUGACCAACUCCAGGAACUGCGUCUGGAUGACUCCCGCUUCCAGCACUACUUUAGGCUAACCAGUAGCCAGUUUUUAUAACCUGUUUGGUUGGAUCGGAGCCAGGAUCUCUCGGUUGGACACCACCUACAGGCGUUCAAUCUCAGCUGUGGAACACCUAUCUGUCUCUGCAUAUCAAUCCCCCCCUAUGGUUAAGAGUGAGAAGAGACGGCUCCUUCUGUUUCUUCUGUCUCCAUUAGCUCCCUGGUGGAUCCGCCUGAUGUGAAGUGACUGCAGCUGUAAUCUCUCACUAAGAUGCUGGUGAAGACACUGUUUCACAGGACCUUGCAAUACAAAAGAUGAAAAUCUACAGGAACAAGACGAACACGUCGGAGUCCAGACGCCGGUAUCAUGUUGGACGUACUAAAAGUUCUGACUGCACCGAGGGACUUUCCAAGGGCUUGGUGUCUGCUGGUUGGGUUUGCUUAUGCAGUCAAUCUUGCACAUUCAAAGUGUCCCCUUUGACCCUUGGAGUAAAAAAAGGGAAUUGUUGUUACUGAACUCUCAAAUGUGGUUACUGUUUGUUCAAUGCCUGUUUUUUAUAUUUUUAAGAUUCACAUUGAGAAGUUUAGAUUUGGCUCUUGUUUUUCUGGUGUUCAGUUUUAGUAUUGCUAUCUAGUGUUAAUGCUGCUUUAUUUGUGUUGUUCAAAUGUAUAUAAACCAUGCUUAUGUAGUGCAGCUUUUCCCUGUACGUAUUUAUAGAAAUUUGCACAAAUAAAUGUUAACCUGCUGUAUGAUGAUGUGUUUGUUAAGUUAAGUUUACUGUUCCAUAAACAUGUGUUGAGUGAAAUAUA